GUAAGUAUAGUUUAAAAAAACACUAGCCUGUGAAGUUAGUAAUAGAAGAUUAAAACUUCUUACUUACC